rnacentral:lncRNA from 1 species
UGUGUCUCAGGGAUUGUGCCUUGUGUCUCCUCAGGGAGGAAGAUCUAGAAGAGAGAAGGGAUGAGUUCUGCACAGCCAGAGUGUUCUACUCUAAACUUGCCCAUCACCCCCAGACUAAGUAUCUGUUAAGUACUUACCCUGUGCCUCUGCACUCCGGACUGUGGGUACAGCAGAAGACACAUCAGGUGUUUCAGCCUCAUGCAGACCACAGACCUCUGUGGUAGCUUUUGUCUACUUGAAGUUCACGGAGGGUCUUGGAUAGGUAGGUUUAAAUAUUGUCUGGAAACUUAAUCCCAUAUUGUAUUUUGUUGGACUUGUGAAAUUAUUUAUAUAGAAAGCAUUUAAAAGAUCUAAAGUCACACUUAUUUU